UGGGGAAUAUUGCACAAUGGGCGCAAGCCUGAUGCAGCCAUGCCGCGUGUGUGAAGAAGGCCUUCGGGUUGUAAAGCACUUUCAGCGGGGAGGAAGGCGGUGAGGUUAAUAACCUCACCGAUUGACGUUACCCGCAGAAGAAGCACCGGCUAACUCCGUGCCAGCAGCCGCGGUAAUACGGAGGGUGCAAGCGUUAAUCGGAAUUACUGGGCGUAAAGCGCACGCAGGCGGUCUGUCAAGUCGGAUGUGAAAUCCCCGGGCUCAACCUGGGAACUGCAUUCGAAACUGGGGGGCGAGAGUCUUGUAGAGGGGGGUAGAAUUCCAGGUGUAGCGGUGAAAUGCGUAGAGAUCUGGAGGAAUACCGGUGGCGAAGGCGGCCCCCUGGACAAAGACUGACGAUCAGGUGCGAAAGCGUGGGGAGCAAACAGG
rnacentral:rRNA from 1 species